AUGCCUUUCUGUUAAACCAUUUGUCGGCUGGUGAAUGCACUGGACCCUGGUACUGCCAAGAGUCCCCAGAACUGAAUAUGCACCAAAUUCUGCCGUGUAGUAAAUCCUUCUUAACUGACUUUCCCUUCUGGCCUUCAAAACGCACCUCCCAAGCCCAGAAUUCUAUCAACAUUGACCGAUUGUGGUUUCUGCUUGUAGCUAUUGUGCUUCUCCAUGCCUUUAGAUAGCUCUGUGCAAACAGCCUUUAUUAGCUUUGCCACAGAGUAUCUUUUGUGGGCUGCCCCAUACAUUUCUCCAGAUAAACAUGUGGGCUCAUACAAAACAAUUUAAUACAUUAACUGGCACCACCCAAAUAAAGACACUGCCACAAGCACGUACAAUCUAAAGUGACACACUUAAAUCAUCCUUAUAGGCAGAAAUGCGGCACCGUGGGUCCGAGGAGGCAGCCACAUUGGGACAAACAAGAAGUGUUUAAUGAUCUUAAGCCAAGGCCCGUAUGAUAUACAAUUAUAGAAGUUUUCAAUGUAUUCCAUCCCUUAACCCCAAUACUCCUGAGUCUUAAAGGAUGCAUAACUGUGAGGUAAGGGGGAGAGAUGGUGUCUUCUACAGAUCCGGUUGGUGGCAAAACGCUCCUCUGGCUGCCCUCUGGAGAGCCUUCUCUCCUGUUUCUGUCGACAAAUCACAAUACCAGUUCCUCUUUCCCUGGCAGGCCCACACCUGGAUGGAUUUGGACUGGCCAUUGUGCUUCUUGGAUUGACAAAAGCUACAAGGAAGAAACUCUAGAGAAAUCUGAGGGAGAGAAGUAAUCCCAGAAACAUCUGAGAUGCAAGAGGAGUGGUGAGCAGAGAAAAAAAGUGUUCCAGUGACCACCUAAUUCAGAUGAAAACUUCAUGAAGCUGAGGCAAAAUCGCUCUUACUUUGAAGCACUUUGUUCAAUGACAUGUCCUUGAUUUAUCAUUAAGUGCUAGCUCUGUAAACGCAUAUGAUGAGUGCAUCUCAAAUGCAAUUCCAAUAUCCAAUUCCAGGUUCUCAGUGUCUAGGACACCCAACAGACCCCACAAGAUAUUACCUAGCUCUGGCUUGUGCUCUGGGAACAUGCUACUUCAAAAUGUUGCAUGCUCAUCUCUCAAACUGUGAGAUCCUUAAGAGCAAUGACUAUGAAGUAUCUAACAGUGACUAAUAGCCUAAUGUUUGAUGGGCAUUUAUUAACAUUGAAUCAAUUAAUUAAAGAGUAAAUAAGAAAUGAAAUAAUAUACUUCAAAUCCCUCCUGUAUGAUGAUGCUAUUGCUACCAUACCAAUAAGGCCAAUUUUCUCCUUUGUAAUAAUUAUUUCUUUGCCCUUUCCCUAACUGCAGGUCCCUUUCUUCAUUUCCUUCUCAAAAGGAACUUUCCGUUUUCUGCUAUGAGCCAACAUUAUAGGGAAUUGCAAGGCUUGUAGAUGUUGCUGGUUUCAUAUAUCAAAGUCAUAAGCUACUAAUUGGCAUGGUCCAAUAGAUUAUUGGAUAUUUAUUGGGGACAAAGAGAUGAAUCCCAAUCUGUAAGCAAAACUAUUAUUGUUCUUGACAGAUUAUCUGGGAUCUGAACAUUUAAAAGUUGAAUACCAUUUCAAAGUUGAGGAGGCUAGCCCAGAACUCAGGAAAAGAAUUAGAAGAGUAGGAAGGAAGUAUGAUACCAACUAGUGCUAAAAUAGACAGGUGCUUCUGAAUGUAUCUAUAGAGGCAGUUUGUACCUCCUCAUCCUAAAGCACUUAAAGGAGCUCUGGAUUAUUGAUGUUUACUUAGCAACGAUACUCCUUUGCAUGCACCCAUCUCAGUGACUUCUCACUUUCCCCCCUUUUCCCUUUUAGAACUGCCUUUCAUAUUCAGUUAUUAAUCACAUUUCAAAUAUCAGCAAAUGUACUGUUUGUUCUGAAAUCUGAGUCCUACUCUAGAUGGUCCAUUUGCUGCAGAGAGUUAGGUGUCACUGACCACAGACUAAGGAGAAUAGCUAAGGCAGAGUAUUUUAAAUGCACAAAUCCUUCAUUGUUGAGUCCCACUGCUAGGAAUUUAACCUAAGGAAGUACUCAGGAAUGUGCUCAUACUGAUCCUUCAUUAUUUAUAAUGUCAAAAAACUGGAAAUAAUCUUAAAGUUAUACAUUAGAGAUUGGUUAAGUGAAUAAUGAUAUAUAAUCCAUACAAUCGACUACCUUCAACUAAAAAUCAAGUUGUAAUGGAAUAUUAGUAUUAUUAUUACUACCAUGAAAAUCUGAUUAUCAUAUGGUCUUUUAAAUAUGCAAAUAAAAACACCCAGAAGGAUAAAAGUAAAAUGUUA
ensembl:lncRNA